AAUCACAGUAGUAUAAGUAUUACAGUGAACACAGUAGUCGAAGCAUUACUGUAACAAAUCACAAUAGCCAGUAUAGUACUGUAAAUAGAAGAGUAGACUACUGUAUUUUUAUUGUCAAUGUCGACUGUUAAAAAAUGA